CUCUAUAGGAAAGGAUACCGGAACGUCAAGUGGGCAAGCUGGUGGUGAUUUGCGGUUGAAGGGUUUGCUCUAAAGGAAAGGAUACCGGAACGUCAAGUGGGCAAGCUGGUGGUGAUUUGCGGUUGAAGGGUUUGCUCUAAAGGUGAUGAGGUGGAUCGUAUGGAUGACGGUCAAGCAACGUAGAAGAACCGAACACGACUUUUGAAGCUUCCGCAAUGUUUUAAUCUUACUUAGACUUUGUUCAUGGGUUGUAAACUAUUUCUUAAUCAACUUUUAAAACAUUCCAACUUAGUCAUUACUUGACUAAAGUUGACGUACUUAUGAACUCCAUUAAGGAAUGUUUUGUUA